rnacentral:lncRNA from 1 species
UAAGCCUCUUAUAAUGGUGAAGUGUAUAUAAGAUUAUCGGGAUUUUGCGUCCUUUUGAAUUCACCGUAUAGUAACAUAAGAGGCUUAACUGUAUUUCUUUGUUUUGCUGGCCCAAUUUGUACUGAUAAGCAUUGAAUAGGCGAAACUACAAUAUUCAGCAGAGGUUACGGCCAAUCAAAGAAUGCAUUAGGCCUCUCUACAUCAUAAAUUUAUCCUGUAAUGUUUUCUUGUACGAGAAACUCUUGGCGCAGUGCAUCAUGGCUUAUUCUCAAGCAGUAAUAAUAAAAAAAACACAACUCGUAAACUUUUGUAUGUCAGUAAUCUGUUUACUUUCGUAUUUAUAUAAUGCUUAGACUAGGCUUUAUUUAAAAUUUGAUUUUUAAUAUAAACUUUAAUUUUUAAGUCCACACUAAUAUUUACAUAAAAGUAUUGUCUUAAAAUAUUCAUUAUGUUAACUCGUUUGAAAGUACAUAACUUGGAGUAACAUUUGCGCCUCACGUAAAUAUGAUAGAUGUGUAUGCAAACGUUUAGUAAUCUUUGCUACCAUUUUUGUUUGUUUGCUUAGAUUCAGAUCGCGGUUGGUCCUAUAAUAGAGCUCAGAAUUAUGAAGCUGGCGAGCCAAGUUCGAAUCCAUAAGAUACCAGAAACAUUCCUCGCACUUUAAGUUGUGAGUACGUUAUAAAAAUGACAGUCGAUCCAUUAGCGUGGAUGGUGGAUGAUAGGAAGCUCUGACUGGCUGUCUUCCAUGCGGUCAGUAGUUCAAAAUAAGCUCAUUAGUGCCCAUUAUCCUGUUUACAGUACUCUAAAACUUCUGCAAAAUAUUUGUCAUAUGUAGAAGGAACGAGCCAAGUUAAGUUUACAGUUGUGCACACGUAAACAAACCCUCAGUUGAAGCUUCGACUUGGAAGCGUGAAGACGUUCUUGCUCUGACUUGACCUACUUUUCUUCAAAGUGGGGUCCAAACAGCAGUGGAAAGAAUUGAUAUGGGAAAAAAAGAACAAGGGAAACAAAGUUCAUCUCUUUGAUCAGCGAUGGUUCAACAAAUACAUCCGUGAUGGAGGAAGAGAUUUCGUAUGUUCGGUAUGCCAUCAAUGGGGCAUUGGCUAUUGACCUUGUUGCUGUGGCCAAUAUUGCAACUGCAGACGGGGAAUCAAUCACAGCCUUGAUGAAAGCAUUGACCAGAUCUGUGUUCAAAGGAAGUCUGUUGGGUUUGGAUCAGAUGGGGCGGCGGUUAUGCUCGGGAGGAAUCAAGGAUUAGCUGCAAACCUGAAACAGAUCAGUCCACCUCUGUUGGCCAUACACUGCACUGCUCAUCGUCUUGAAAUUGCGUAUAAGGAUGCAAUGAAGAGUAUUCCGUUACUUGUCACACAAAGUUCAUUCCUCCUCAACAUUUACAAGUUCUACAGAACUGUUCACAAAAAGGGAGUGGAUUGAACUUAGCAACGGAGGCAGUAGAGGACGCUGUAGCAGUACCUAGGAGAGCUGGAGGAACUAGAUGGCUGCCUCAUCUGAAACUGUAUUUAAACAGAUAAUAAGAAGAUCCCACCUAUAUGAGAUAAAUUGCAACUGGAUCAAACUGGGAUCAUUUAGUCAAAGACUGAUUUGUAAAAUUGUAGCAUAGCAAGUUUCAUAAUUAGAACAGUUUGAAUGUUGAAGACUAUGUCAUUAAAUAUUUUUUUUUAAAUAACUGUAACCGUCAUUGCAAUCAGUCUCUUAUAACUCCAUUCUGUUUAUUUCCAUCCUUGAAAUAGCUUGAAACACACAACCAGGGUAUUUGACUGAUGCUAAGACCAAAGCCAAAGGCUUUCUUGAAGCUCCUAAAGCUGAUAGACAUGAUAAAGUUCUUCCAAUUUAUGCUUAAUGUGGUGGUAACACUGUCAUCUGUGUCAUUCACUUCACAGAAAACGAAUUCGACUGUGGCUUUUCUUAUCACUCUUCAGAAGUAUAAGACCAGGAAAACAACUCCUCAUCUAUAGGGUCUUAAGAAUGGUGAUUUGAAUGGUGAGAAAUUGAUAGGAACUGAAGAUAUUGAAGGUGACAUGACAUCUGUGCUAGAUCACCUUAAAGAGAGCCUCCAUGGACGAUUUGAAGACAUUACCAAUGGUGUCUUGGAGGCAAUGCAAAUUGUUAGCUUUAACUUCUGGCCAGAAGAUGACGCAGGGGUUAACUAUGCUAUAACCGAUACUGCAUGUAGCUUUUAGUAGUACUUUGGAAAUGAUGCUGUGGUAACUUUGUCCAACCACUUCCAUCCUAUCUUGAAGCAAGCUGGCAUUGAUGAAGAGAAGAUGAGUGUUGAGUGGGACCUUCUGAAAGCACGGAUGUAUUCAAAACAUAACAAGAAAGGCCAACCAUGGGCUGAUAUCAUCCCUAGGAUUAAGGAGGAACUACCUAAUAUCUGUGGCCUCUUUGACCUGAUAUUGUCUGUUGUAGCCAACCUUGCUGAGGCUGAGAGAGGAUUCAGCAAGAUGAAGAUGAUCAAGACCAACUUGAGAUCUUAUCUGUGAGCUUACAGGAUUAUUGAUCAGCUUCUGGUCAUGCUCCACUCACCUCCAAUAAGUGACUUUGACCCCAUAACAGCUAUCCAUCUUUGUAACUCACGAAAAAUACUUCGCUCAAGGAGACCAAAUACUGGCAGAGUACAGAUUGAGAAGCAGGUGCAUUUGAGUGAAGAAGAAGGGGAUGAAGGAAGAAUCCAAGAAAUGGAUGUUGGGACAUAAUUGGACACUGAUAUUGAUGUAUAUAAAUUUCCUUUCAUUAUUUAUUUUAUUUAGGAAAGGACACUACUUUAAAAGGACAUAUUACAUUGACAGUGAUGCAUAUUUUUAUGAACAUUUAUUUUGAUUAUUAAAGGGCAACAAGAAGUUACUGUUAUACCAUGUUGUACAGAGAAAUUAAAUAUCAUAUAUGAAAUAAAGAUCAUUUAAGUGGUAUGAAGAAAAAAAAAGGUUUGAGUUGUGUUUGUUUUCACGAAGUACCAGUUCAGAACAAAAUAAAUUGAGAUAUGUUGAUAUCUUUAGUUUCCUUCCAAUUUAUAUAACAUCCUCUAUUUAAUUCAGUGAUUUUUCUGAUAACCUCCACUUUUUACAAUGAGCUAUAGGUUUGGCCCUUAAAAUGCUUGCGGGCCUCUAAAAAUGUAUGUUUUGGGGACCCGGCUGGCUCCCUAAAAAAAAAGAAGUUAAACAUGAGCCAUGCAUAUUGAAGACUAUUAUUUGUGAAUCCAAACAAUAUGCAGCUAAUAAUGUAGAUAUUAAUGACUUAAAAGCUGUUUUAGAAAAAACAGUCGAACGCCAUUAACGUUACGUUCAUGAGAGCUGCGAUGUUAUUGGAAACGACAUUAUUUGGGACCCAAUUCCCCAUUAGUAUAAUGAUAUAAGUUGGAGUUGUGUUCCAGCAGCAUAAUUGAACGUCCUAUACAUAACAAAAGCAACGAAAAUUACAAAGUAUAGUACAAUAAUAAACAUUAAUAAAUAAUACGUACCAUUGUACAAUACUGACAAAAAACUUGAUAUGGUAAUGGUUUAGUAAUGCCAGUAAAGCUAACCCACUGAAGGAAUUUACAGAAAGAAUGUUUAG